rnacentral:tRNA from 1 species
GCGGAAGUGGUGAAAUUGGUAGACACGCCAUCUUGAGGGGGUGGUGCCGAUAGGUGUAGGGGUUCAAAUCCCCUCUUCCGCA